UACGUAGGGGGCGAGCGUUGUCCGGAAUCAUUGGGCGUAAAGCGCGUGUAGGCGGCUCGAUAAGUCCGGUGUGAAACCUUGGGGCUCAACCCCAAGCCUGCACUGGAUACUGCCGAGCUAGAGUCCGGGAGGGGAGAGCGGAAUUCCUAGUGUAGCGGUGAAAUGCGCAGAUAUUAGGAGACACCGAUGGCGAAGGCAGGUCUCUGGGCAUUAACUGACGCUGAGGAGCGAAAGCAUGGGGAGCGAACAGG
rnacentral:rRNA from 1 species